rnacentral:rRNA from 1 species
UACGUAGGGUGCAAGCGUUAAUCGGAAUUACUGGGCGUAAAGCGUGCGCAGGCGGUUAUGUAAGACAGGUGUGAAAUCCCCGGGCUUAACCUGGGAACUGCAUUUGUGACUGCAUAGCUAGAGUACGGUAGAGGGGGAUGGAAUUCCGCGUGUAGCAGUGAAAUGCGUAGAUAUGCGGAGGAACACCGAUGGCGAAGGCAAUCCCC